UACGUAGGGUGCAAGCGUUAAUCGGAAUUACUGGGCGUAAAGCGUGCGCAGGCGGCUAUGCAAGACAGAUGUGAAAUCCCCGGGCUCAACCUGGGAACUGCAUUUGUGACUGCAUGGCUAGAGUACGGUAGAGGGGAUGGAAUUCCGCGUGUAGCAGUGAAAUGCGUAGAUAUGCGGAGGAACACCGAUGGCGAAGGCAAUCCCCUGGACCUGUACUGACGCUCAUGCACGAAAGGCGUGGGGACAAACGAGG
rnacentral:rRNA from 1 species